AGUGAACGCUGGCGGUAGGCUUAACACAUGCAAGUCGAACGGCAGCACAGUAAGAGCUUGCUCUUCCGGGUGGCGAGUGGCGGACGGGUGAGGUAUACAUCGGAACCUACUUUUUCGUGGGGGUUAACGUAGGGAAACUUACGCUAAUACCGCAUAUGACCCACGGGUGUAAGCAGGGGAUCUUCGGACCUUGCGCGAUUGAAUGAGCCGAUGUCGGAUUAGCUAGUUGGCGGGGUAAACGCCCACCAUGGCGACGAUCCGUAGCUGGUCUGAGUGGAUGAUCGGCCACACUGGAGGUGAACCAUGGUCAAGCCUCCUACGGGAGGGCCCAGGGGGCAAUAUGAGGCAGUGGGCGGAAGCCUGGUCCAGCCAUACCACGUAGGUUAAACAUGCCUACGGGUUGUGAAGCCCUUUUUUAGGGAAAUAAAAGCCGCAGGUUGAUACCCAGCUGGUCUGACGGUACCGGAAGAAUAAGCACCGGCUAACUUCGUG
rnacentral:rRNA from 1 species